UCACCUCCGCAGGCUGCCGGCCCCCGGGCUGGCUGGGCGAGUAUCUCUUCGAAAGGCUCACCCUUGAGCACCACCAGGAGC
rnacentral:pre_miRNA from 1 species